AUGGCCGUCCCCAGCUCGCCGUCUCUUCUCCUCGCCGCGGCGCUGCUGCUCUGCGCGACGGCGACGCUGGCCGCGGCCCAAGCCGUCACGACGAGGAAGUACCAGUUCGAUGUGCAAAUGACGAGCGUGACGCGGCUGUGCGGCACCAAGAGCAUCGCCACGGUGAACGGGCAGUUCCCGGGGCCGACGCUGCACGCGCGGGAGGGCGACCACGUGGAGGUCAACGUGGUCAACAACUCCCCCUACAACAUGAGCAUCCACUGGCACGGCGUGCGGCAGCUGCUCAGCGGGUGGUACGACGGGCCCUCCUACGUCACGCAGUGCCCGAUCCAGCCGGGCCAGAGCUACGUCUACCGGUUCCAGAUCGUCGGGCAGCGGGGCACGCUCUGGUGGCACGCGCACAUCUCCUGGCUCCGCGCCACCGUGCACGGGCCCAUCGUCAUCCUCCCGCCCGCCGGCGUGCCCUACCCGUUCCCGGCGCCGGAGGCCGAGGUGCCCCUCAUGUUCGGCGAGUGGUGGAGGAACGACACCGAGGCGGUCAUCGCCCAGGCGCUGCAGACCGGCGGGGGGCCUAAUGUGUCCGACGCCUACACCAUGAACGGACUCCCCGGCCCGCUCUACGCCUGCUCGGCGAAGGACACGUUUAGGCUCAAGGUGAAGCCUGGCAAGACGUACAUGCUCCGGCUCAUCAACGCCGCGCUCAACGACGAGCUCUUCUUCGCCGUAGCCAACCACACGCUCACCGUCGUCGACGUCGACGCGCUCUACGUCAAGCCCUUCGCCGUCGAGACCCUCAUCAUCGCGCCCGGACAGACCAGCAACGUGCUCCUCACCGCCAAGCCCGCCUACCCCGGCGCCAGGUACUACAUGCUGGCCCGCCCCUACACCAACACGCAGGGCACCUUCGACAACACCACCGUUGCCGGCAUCCUCGAGUACGAGCAUGACGACCCCGCCACCGCCACUGGCAACGGCAAGAACCUGCCCAUCUUCAGGCCGACCCUGCCGCAGAUCAACGACACCAGCGCCGUGUCCAACUACACCGCCAAGCUGCGCAGCCUGGCGAGCGCCGCGUACCCGGCGUCCGUGCCGCAGGUGGUGGACCGGGAGUUCCUCUUCACCGUCGGCCUCGGCACCCACCCGUGCGCGCCGGGCUCCCCCGUGAACGGGAGCACUUGCCAGGGCCCCAACGGGACGUCCCGGUUCGCGGCGUCCAUCAACAACGUCUCCUUCGUGCUCCCGACCACGGCGCUGCUGCAGUCGCACUACACCGGGAUGUCCAAGGGCGUGUACGCCUCCAACUUCCCCUUCGCGCCGCCGCACCCGUUCAACUACACGGGCACGCCGCCCAACAACACGAACGUGAUGACCGGGACCAAGGCGCUGGUGCUGCCGUUCGGCACCGCCGUGGAGCUGGUGAUGCAGGACACCAGCAUCCUCGGCGCCGAGAGCCACCCGCUGCACCUGCACGGCUUCAACUUCUUCGUCGUCGGCCAGGGCUUCGGGAACUACGACCCGGCCAAGGACCCGGCCAAGUUCAACCUCGUCGACCCCGUCGAGCGCAACACCGUCGGCGUCCCCGCCGGCGGCUGGGUCGCCAUCCGCUUCCGCGCCGACAACCCAGGUGUUUGGUUCAUGCAUUGCCAUUUGGAGGUGCACAUGAGCUGGGGGCUGAAGAUGGCGUGGCUGGUGCUGGACGGCAGCCUUCCGAACCAGAAGCUCCCGCCGCCGCCGGCAGAUCUCCCGAAAUGCUAG
rnacentral:rRNA from 1 species